CUUUUUUAUUUCUUCACCUGUCUUUUAAAGUAGAGGAAGAUUGUUUAGCUCGCAUUUUGUAUUCAAACUGUAGAAUAGCUUUGGUGCCAUAACCAAUGUUACAGAGACUGAAAGAUCCCUGAAGAAUCUGAGUUCUGUGUGUGAUGGGGAUGCUGCCCGAGACCAGUCCCAAAUGGGUGCAUCCUCCUCCGGGCGCUCACAAAUGAGAACAGAUUUCAUGCACGAAUAUGAGCCACGAGUAUCUCUGUUCGUAGAGUUGCUUGUUUUUCUGGUCUUCAGAAGGAAGCAAGGUCAUUCCAUCGUUCACACGGCUCAGAACUGACUGCCGGGUUGUUAAAAUACAUCUGCCGCUGGCAUGAACCCCGGAGGAGGAGGAUUCGUGGGGAAAAGCGGAAAAGUGUCAGUUUAGAGGCUGGGGCACGGUGCUUGAGGCAGAGAGAGAUGGAGGGAAGGUGCUGAUGGAAGGGAUGGCCGGGGAGGGUGCGGAGGGCAGGCGGCCGGGGCAGGGCUGAGCGCGGGCGGGGAGCAGCGCUGGCUGCAGGCGGUGCCGCUCGCUGCGGGGACAGGGCAGUGGGGCACGGGGGCCGGGACAGCCGGGCGGGGACAGGGACAGCCGGACACGGCAGCCGGGACAGCCGGGCGGGGCCGGGACGAGGGUAGGGACAGCCGGGGCGAGGGCAGGAGCGGCCGGGGCGGGCCGGGGCCGGCACAUUCCGGGCAGGCGCAGUGAGCGCACAGCGCUCCGGGCCCAUGGAGGCGGCGGGGCCGCAGCCCGCACCGGGCCCCGCGGCGGGGCCGCAGCCGGGCGCCGAGGAGAUCGACAUGUCCCUGGAUGACAUCAUAAAGCGGCACAGGAAGGAGCAGCCGGAUGCCAGCGCCGUGGGCGACAGCAGAAGGCAGCAGGUCAAGAACAGGAGCUCGGCCCCCGGCUAUGGGCGGCCCCGGUACCGAGCCUGGAAGCAGAGGAAUUUGCAAGGACCUCAGCGUUUCAGAAGAGGCUUUGGACAGCAGCAGCUCAAUCGGAGGCAGUUCAGGAAUGCUCUGCCUGGUGGCAAGAGAAGAGCGGCUGCUGCAUUCCAAGGAGUGAGCCCUCUGAACCGCCAGGACUCGGCCCAGGAGGGCACCAAGAAGAGCAAUGCUUUUGCCAAAAGCAGUGGUGGGCAGCAGGAGGAACAGCCACAGCCAUCUGCAAGCCCCAAGAGAUUCAGAGCAGAUGCUGCCAGCAUCCGUGCCCCAGGGAGGAGCAGGCCUUUCCUGCUGAACAGAGGAGCAGCAUUCCAGCAGAAGCGGAUGCAGCAGUGGUUCUACAAAGCUCCCUUCCAGAGAUGGCAGAUGGAUUCUCAAGGAGAAGGGAAACCGCCAAGGAUGAGAAGGUGGCAAGUGAAACCCAGCCCGGGAGCAAUUCUGACAGUUUCUGUGCUUAAUCCCCAGGCGGGCCAGCUCAGCCUGCCUGGAUCCAAGCGCCCAUUCCUGCGAAGCCAGAGAGCCCCAGCACAGGUGGCCAAACCCCAGCCCAGGGGGGUGCUGCUGAGGUUCAACUUCCGCGCCAUGGCCAACCAGACCAGCCUGACUCUGGAUGAGAGGUUCUCUGGUCUGAGGAAUAAGAGGCGCUUUACAGCGGCCAGGAGCGCCCGGCGGACGGUCACCAUGCCUUAGGACACGUGCUCGGCACAGGGACUGCCUGGGACACUCCAGGCUCCCCGACACGGCCUCAAUAAAAGUCCUUAGAUUCCCUUUGAGAUAGCUGAU
rnacentral:lncRNA from 1 species